CAAAGGUAGCAUAAUCAUUUGUCUAUUAAUUGUAGACCAGUAUGAAAGGCAACAUGAGGGUCUAACUGUCUCUUAUAAUAAAUCAAUUAAACUGAUCUUCUAGUAAAAAAGCUAGAAUUAUACCAUAAGACCAGAAGACCCUGUGAAGCUUAAACUAAACUAUUAAAACAAAUAAUAGCUAUUUUCGGUUGGGGCGACCUUGGAAAAAAAGAGAACUUCUAAUAUACUAUAACUGAACCGCAUAGGCCUACAAGCCGCACACUAAUGACCCAGCAUGGCUGAUCAUUGAACCAAGUUACUCCAGGGAUAACAGCGCUAUCUUCUUCAAGAGCCCAUAUCAAAAAGAAGGUUUACGACCUCGAUGUUGGAUCAGGACAUCCUAACGGCGCAGCCGCUGUUAAGGGCUCGUUUGUUCAACGAUUAAUAGU
rnacentral:rRNA from 1 species